UAAGACGGAGGGCGCAAGCGUUGUUCGGAAUUACUGGGCGUAAAGGGCGGGUAGGUGGUCUGUUAAGUCUUCUGUGAAAAUCCGGGGCUCAACCCCGCGAAAUGCAGGUGAAACUGGCGGACUCGAGACCGGUAGAGGCUAGCGGAAUUCCUGGUGUAGCGGUGGAAUGCGUAGAUAUCAGGAAGAACACCUGUGGCGAAGGCGGCUAGCUGGGCCGGUUCUGACACUGAACUGCGAAAGCGUGGGGAGCAAACAGGAUUAGAUACCCUGGUAGCCCACGCCGUAAACGAUGGGCACUAGAUGCCGGGCAUAUAGACGUGUUCGGUGUCGCAGCUAACGCAUUAAGUGCCCCGCCUGGGGAGUACGGUCGCAAGGCUG
rnacentral:rRNA from 1 species